rnacentral:rRNA from 1 species
AUUGAACGCUGGCGGCAGGCCUAACACAUGCAAGUCGAACGAGUGGCGGACGGGUGAGUCAUGUCUGGGAAACUGCCUGCUGGAGGGGGAUAACUACUGGACACGGUAGCUAAUACCGCAUACCAUCAGAUGUGCCCAGAUGGGAUUCGCUUGUUGUGGGGGUAACGGCGCAACAAGGCGACGAUCCCUAGCGGGUCUGAGAGGAUGAACGGCAACAGUGGAACUGAGACACGGGUCAGACUCCUACGGGAGGCAGCAGUGGGGAAUAGUGCAUAAGGGGCGCAAGCCUGAUGCAGCCAUGCCGCGUGUAUGAAGAAGGUCAUCGGGUUGGAAAGUACUUUCAGCGGGGAGGCGGUACCCGCAGAAGAAGCACCGGCUAACUCCGUGCCAGCAGCCGCGGUAAC